rnacentral:rRNA from 1 species
AGCGAACGCUGGCGGCAGGCCUAACACAUGCAAGUCGAACGGACCUUUCGGGGUUAGUGGCGGACGGGUGAGUAACACGUGGGAACGUGCCUUUAGGUUCGGAAUAGCUCCUGGAAAGGGGUGGUAAUGCCGAAUGUGCCCUUCGGGGGAAAGAUUUAUCGCCUUUAGAGCGGCCCGCGUCUGAUUAGCUAGUUGGUUGAGGGAACGGCUCACCAAGGCGACGAUCAGUAGCUGGUCUGAGAGGAUGGCCAGCCACAUUGGGACUGAGACACGGCCCAAACUCCUACGGGAGGCAGCAGUGGGGAAUCUUGCGCAAUGGGCGAAAGCCUGACGCAGCCAUGCCGCGUGAAUGAUGAAGGUCUUAGGAUUGUAAAAUUCUUUCACCGGGGACGAUAAUGACGGUACCCGGAGAAGAAGCCCCGGCUAACUUCGUGCCAGCCGCCGCGGUAACAC